GAGGGUAUAGCUUAGUGGUAGAGCAUAUGCUCAGCAUGCACAAGGUCCUAGAUUCAAUCCUCAGUACCUCCA
rfam:Camelus ferus unplaced genomic scaffold scaffold1310, whole genome shotgun sequence.